GAAUCGCUAGUAAUCGUGGAUCAGAAUGCCACGGUGAAUACGUUCCCGGGCCUUGUACACACCGCCCGUCACACCAUGGGAGUGGACUGCACCAGAAGUGGUUAGCCUAACGCAAGAGGGCGAUCACCACGGUGUGGUUCAUGACUGGGGUGAAGUCGUAACAAGGUAGCCGUAGGGGAACCUGCGGCUGGAUCACCUCCUU
rnacentral:rRNA from 2 species